AUUGAACGCUGGCGGCAUGCCUUACACAUGCAAGUCGAGCGGUCACAGGCGGGUGGGUGCUGUCGCUUGGGGUACCGGCGGGUGAUGGAUUGGCACGUGCGCAGUCGUGGUGUAUAACUGCGAGAAAGAGUGGAUACGACCGCAUACGCCCUAUGUUAUAUAGCGUGGCAUGGUACGGGCUUGCGCGAUUGGUGUGGCGGAUGUUAGAUUAGGUAGUUGGUGGGGUAACGGCUCACCAAGGCAACGAUCUGUAGCAGACCUGAGAGGAUGACCAGCCACACUGGGACUGAGACACGGCCCAGACUCCUACGGGAGGCAGCAGCAGGGAAUCUUCCGCAAUGGACGAAAGCCUGAUCGAGCAAUGCCGCGUGAAUGAAGAAGGUCUUCGGAUUGUAAACUUCUGUUGUACGGAAAGAAAAAGCACUGUUGAAUCUCAGCGGAUAAUGACGGUACCGGAACAAUAAGCCCCGGCUAACUACGUG
rnacentral:rRNA from 1 species